rnacentral:rRNA from 1 species
GGCAAUGGACGAAAGUCUGACCGAGCAACGCCGCGUGAGUGAAGAAGGUUUUCGGAUCGUAAAGCUCUGUUGUAAGUCAAGAACGUGUGUGAGAGUGGAAAGUUCACACAGUGACGGUAGCUUACCAGAAAGGGACGGCUAACUACGUGCCAGCAGCCGCGGUAAUACGUAGGUCCCGAGCGUUGUCCGGAUUUAUUGGGCGUAAAGGGAGCGCAGGCGGUCAGGAAAGUCUGGAGUAAAAGGCUAUGGCUCAACCAUAGUGUGCUCUGGAAACUGUCUGACUUGAGUGCAGAAGGGGAGAGUGGAAUUCCAUGUGUAGCGGUGAAAUGCGUAGAUAUAUGGAGGAACACCAGUGGCGAAAGCGGCUCUCUGGUCUGUCACUGACGCUGAGGCUCGAAAGCGUGGGUAGCGAACAGGAUUAGAUACCCUGGUAGUCCACGCCGUAAACGAUGAGUGCUAGGUGUUAGGCCCUUUCCGGGGCUUAGUGCCGGAGCUAACGCAAUAAGCACUCCGCCUGGGGAGUACGACCGCAAGGUUGAAACUCAAAGGAAUUGACGGGGGCCCGCACAAGCGGUGGAGCAUGUGGUUUAAUUCGAAGCAACGCGAAGAACCU